rnacentral:tRNA from 1 species
GGGCUCGUAGUUCAGCGGGAGAAUUCUCGGUUUGCACCCGAGAGACCCGGGUUCGAAUCCCGGCGGGUCCA